GAUGAAGAACGUAGCGAAAUGCGAUAAGUAAUGUGAAUUGCAGAAUUCAGUGAAUCAUCGAAUCUUUGAACGCACAUUGUGCCCCUUGGUAUUCCGAGGGGCAUGCCUGUUCGAGCGUCAUUAUAACCCCUCAAGCUCAGCUUGGUGUUGGGGCCUGCCGCACGGGCAGCCCUUAAAAUCAGUGGCGGUGCCAUCUGGCUCUAAGCGUAGUAAUUCUUCUCGCUAUAGAGUCACGGUGGAUGCUUGCCAUUAACCCCCAAUUUUCAAUGGUUGACCUCGGAUCAGGUAGGGAUACCCGCUGAACUUAAGCAUAUCAAUAAGCGGAGGA
rnacentral:misc_RNA from 1 species